rnacentral:lncRNA from 1 species
UAAGCUCUCAGAAAUCAAAUUUUUCAGAACUAUUUACAGUACAGAUUGACUGUUUUUAUUAUGAAUUUCAGUAGUAAUUGAUUUUUUAAGCCAACUUUGCUGAACAAUAUUUAGAGGUUCCUAAUUUCUGAAUUAUUAAUAUCAUUUCUUGACAGUUCAAAACAAGAUCACAAAUUUUAGACAACUUGUAAUCAGCACUUUGAUAAUUUCCUUUAGGGGGACAUGUCACAGAUGGAGAAGGAGCACCAGCUGUUACAAGAGCAGCUUAAGGAAGCGUGGGAGAAUUACAAGCAGAUUAAACUCCAGAGCUCAGAUGAAACCAGGGACCUGGAAGAAAAGUUGAAGAGGAACAUGGAAGAAAGCAAGAUCUCAAAGACAGAAUUAGAUUGGUUCCUCCAAGAUUUGGACAGAGAAAUUAAAAAGUGGCAACAAGAGAAAAAAGAAAUCCAAGAAAGACUGAAAACGCUGAAGAAAAAAAUGAAAAAGGCUCUAAAUGCCGGUGAAAUGUAAGUAACAGCUGAAGGCGGUGUUCUUAGACCCGGGCGUUUCUGCUGCUGCUCCUGUUCUUCAUACUGCAUUCCAAAUAAAAAAUUAAAAACUAGACACUUCCCAGUGCCUGUCUGCCUUUUCGAAAGCAUCCAUUGAAUGAUUCUUUAAACUGUCUGAACCAGCAUGUUUUCAGACGAAACCGAGAAUCCGUGGGGCCAGCCUCUCUGGGGGCCGAGCAUCACUGUGAACAUUACUUUCUUCCUCUGCCUUACUGAUGAAUGAAGGGCUAAGUCUAGAUUCUGUGAUGAUUAUGCUUACUUUUAUCCUGAAUCUUCAAAUAAUUAACGUUUGGUCUUACAAUGUGCAGGGUUUGCUAAUGUACCGGCCCUCAUUGUCAGAGGGCUGUCCUAGCUAGCUUGAGCUGUCAACUUGACAAAGCCCUGAGUCAUCUGAAGGAGUCUCAAUUGGGAUUUUACCCAGAUGAGAUUGGUCUGUGAGGAUUUGUCUUGAUUGUUCAUUGAUGUGAAAGGGCCCAGCCCACUGUGGGCAGCACUAUCCCUGUGCAGGUAGGCCUGGGCUAUAAGAAAGCUAGCUCAGCCUGACCAGAGAGCCAGCCAGUAAGCAGCCUUCCGUCAUGGUGCCUGCCUCUGCUCCUACUUGUUCCUGUCCUGACUCCCCUCAGUCGUGGAACAACCUGGAGGAAGGAGGUGAAAUAAAUCCUCCAGCCCUAACUUGCUUUCGGUCAUAAUGUUUGUGUAAAGCAGACCAGAACAGGGGCCAAGUGUGGUUUAAGCUCCUCUGACCCACUGCCACCCUCCUGCUGCUCUGAACAGUGACACGGCCCCUCGGUUUGCUUCCUGCUAUGUAAGAAGACAUCAGGCUAACUGCUUAGCAGCUCCUGUAUUUGUGUGUGGUCCUGCAGUCUGCACUGAGAGCUCAGCUGAGCCAGGCCUCUGCUGCUCUUGGCAGCAGCUCCAUGUCAGUGUGUUCCACUGGGAGUUGGCGGCACCUGGGCUCCAGUGGGAUGACUUGGCCUCCUUCCUCGAGAGUGCCAAGGUCUACCCCUUUCGUUGGAGCCUCUCCAUCAG